AGUCCUUCGCCGUCCCUCGCCGUCCUUCGCCAUCGCACGCCACCGCACCCCAUCUCUCGAAAUCUGCAGACAUCUUGAUUUUUCCCACGCUGUCUGUCAGGUCUCCGCCGCCACUCGACGCCAGGGCGCCGGGUGAGUCCACAGCAGGGCGCAUGGUCGGCUCCACUCUCACCAUCGGGGGAAACUGAGGCCCCGGGGAAGGCGGCCAGAGAGGUCAGGCCCUGUCCUUGGUGCAGUGUCUCGUCCUCUUUGCCGGAGUGAGCCCCCCAGGAUUCGCGUGUCCUCGGGAAAGACACUGGCAGGCCUUGUGGGCUGUGCUGCACCUCGGACGGCUUCGCACCAGCCAGCGCCCUCUCUCUCCUGCAGCACUCUGAUCUGCACCCCCUGAGGGGCUUCCACUGUCCGCGGGGUGAGAAUGCCCCUGGGAGUGUCACAUGACUGCCGCCCCAUGUGUGUGAGAGGCGUCCUCUGGGAGAGCAUGGAUCCUGAGGUCCCAGGAUUGUCAGCUGACCUCUGUCCUGUGUGCCCAGUGGCCCCAGGUGACGUGUCUUCAAGAAGAGGCUGAGCUGCGGUGCUUGUAAGAGUCAUGUGCUGUUCCUGGGGCUUGGAUGAUGUAGGGGAAGCAAGGUGAAAGUGGUAUCCCGUGGUUCCACGUUCUGUCCUGCUGUGGGGCUGUCCCUCACAUGCUUUCAGUGGCUGUUGCAGAGGAAGAGCCUCCGGAAAUCUGCGUGGGUAAAGUGAGCUCCCCGGGGGAACCGUCCUCCUCCCUUGAGCGCUGGUGUGUCCAUAGUGUGCUGUGAUCUGGAUUAGCAGUCUCAGCCUUAGAUCCAAGGACAGUCCAAGGAAGUCCUAAGACCAUGGAGUUGGUGAUCUGGGAUCUGGGUUUGCUGAUAUUUCUCACCGUGAAUCUCUUGGUGGUGUUUGUGGGCACGAGAGGGGCAGAGAAUGGAGAGUGAGGCUACCACAUGAAGCGUCACCAGAGCUGCUCCCUGCUGCCUGCUCAGAGCACCCCGGAUCCACUGUUCAAUCUGCACAAGAUUCGGGGUCCAGACAUGGGAGACUUCAGCUGCCUCAGAGGACCGUGGACAGGGAAGGCCAGCCUCGCAUCCCUCUGUCCAUGCCUGGAAUGACUUUAAUAACCAAGAGUUUUAUUUUUGAAUUUGUAGCUGUCGUUCACUUUUUACCCACCCAUUCAAUAAACCUUACAGAAUUGC
rnacentral:lncRNA from 1 species